rnacentral:rRNA from 1 species
UCGGAUCGCAGGCUGNAACCCGCCUGCGUGAAGUCGGAAUCGCUAGUAAUCGCGGAUCAGCAUGCCGCGGUGAAUACGUUCCCGGGCCUUGUACACACCGCCCGUCACACCAUGAGAGUCGGGAACACCCGAAGUCCGUAGCCUAACCGCAAGGAGGGCGCGGCCGAAGGUGGGUUCGAUAAUUGGGGUGAAGUCGUAACAAGGUACC